AUUGAACGCUGGCGGCAUGCCUUACACAUGCAAGUCGAACGGCAGCAUGGAGAGCUUGCUCUCUGAUGGCGAGUGGCGAACGGGUGAGUAAUGCAUCGGAACGUACCGUGUAAUGGGGGAUAACGUAGCGAAAGUUACGCUAAUACCGCAUACGACCUGAGGGUGAAAGCAGGGGAUCGCAAGACCUUGCGUUAUACGAGCGGCCGAUGUCAGACUAGCUAGUUGGUGAGGUAAAGGCUCACCAAGGCGACGAUCUGUAGCGGGUCUGAGAGGAUGAGCCGCCACACUGGGACUGAGACACGGCCCAGACUCCUACGGGAGGCAGCAGUGGGGAAUUUUGGACAAUGGGGGAAACCCUGAUCCAGCCAUGCCGCGUGAGUGAAGAAGGCCUUCGGGUUGUAAAGCUCUUUCGGCCGGGAAGAAAUCGCACAGGCUAAUACUCUGUGUGGAUGACGGUACCGGCAUAAGAAGCACCGGCUAACUACGUGCCAGCCGCCGCGGUAAAAC
rnacentral:rRNA from 1 species